GUUUUGGCUCAAGGAAUGUGGCCAAAGUGCAACUGGCGCUUUACUUGAUUACAUUGCUCAAAACCAUAUUGCGGCUCCCUUUUCUUGCUAAUCAAGCUGCUUCUGAAAAUAAUUAUGGUGAUGUUGUCCAUAGGAUUUCUUGUGCUUCAAAUUUUGUUGAUCGAAAGCGGAGUAAGGAGCCCAUCUUUCAUGGAAUCAUCUACAACGAUGCACGACUGGAUCGAAUUGAAGAGCAAAUAUAUUUUGGCGAGGAAGGACAAAUGUUAAUUAGGUUUCAUUUUAAUUAGGCUUCAUCUUUGUUGCAGUCAGUUGAUUUCAGAAAGUAUUACAUUCAGAUUAGUUGAAGAUAGACAAAAGCCUGAAUUCUUAUUAGCUGGUGGUUGAGCCAUACAAACGUUGUUCUAAUUUCUACAAGGCAAGUCGAGAUUGACUUU